UCUGGGAGCUCGGCGUUACUGUCACGGAAAUUCUUCCAGUUGUUCCAUCUUGAGGCUCCUUCGACACAACGACGACCGUCUUCGAAAAUGGCUCGUGACCCACAGGUUUAGGGUCGGGGUGCUUUGAAAUACAUCAUUUGCAGCGGCGAGCUGAAAAAUAAAAACCCGCAACACAAUCACAGUUCCAAACACGCAGCUAUUAGACUUCGAUGCACUUCCCUGACUUGCAUCGUCGCCCGAAAUUCAGAAGAUAACGCUGCAGAUGGAUAAUUCAGCAAAAGUACAGAUAUGGGUGUGACGGCAGAGAACAAUAAAAGUGGCGCAAUGACAGCAACUGUCUUUGAACAACAGAAACUAACGACCCAAACUCAGUCCAAUGCAUGUGCAUUGCCCCGGAAGGAAUAAGCCAAGCAGUAGUGACGGGGAGGGAGUCUGCUGACGUAGAUUCAUGCCAUCCGUACCUUUUUUAUGUGUCCCGUGUGUCCUGCAGCUUCGUCCCUUAUGAAAAAAGUAAAUAAAUAUGAGAUUCUGGAAAGUAAAUUUUCUAUAUGACAUAACUCUGACUACUCGAACCUGUAAGAACAGUGCAUUACAAAGAGAUACACAGAAAAAAAAAAAAUUAAAUACAAAGAA